rnacentral:rRNA from 1 species
CCUACGUGCGGCUGCAGUGAGGAAUAUUGGUCAAUGGACGGAAGUCUGAACCAGCCAUGCCGCGUGCAGGAAGACGGCUCUAUGAGUUGUAAACUGCUUUUGUACAAGGGUAAACCUGAAUACGUGUAUUCCGCUGAAAGUACUGUACGAAUAAGGAUCGGCUAACUCCGUGCCAGCAGCCGCGGUAAUACGGAGGAUGCGAGCGUUAUCCGGUUUUAUUGGGUUUAAAGGGUGCGUAGGCGGAAUAUCAAGUCCGCGGUAAAAAUUCGGGGCUCAACCCCGUCGUGCCGUUGAAACUGAUGUUCUUGAGUGUGCGAGAAGUAUGCGGAAUGCGUGGUGUAGCGGUGAAAUGCAUAGAUAUCACGCAGAACUCCGAUUGCGAAGGCAGCAUACCGGCGCCCAACUGACGCUGAAGCACGAAAGCGUGGGUAUCGAACAGGAUUAGAUACCCCAGUAGUC